UAGUCCACACCGUAAACGAUGGAUACUAGAUGUUGGAGAUGUAUUUUCCAGUGUCGUAGCUAACGCGUUAAGUAUCCCGCCUGGGGAGUACGCCCGCAAGGGUGAAACUCAAAGGAAUUGACGGGGCCCGCACAAGCGGUGGAGCAUGCGCUUUAAUUCGAUGCAACGCGAAGAACCUUACCUGGACUUGACAUGGUAGUGUAACAUUUAGAGAUAGAAUGCCUUCCUUCGGGAACACUACACACAGGUGCUGCAUGGUUGUCGUCAGCUCGUGUCGUGAGAUGUUGGGUUAAGUCCCACAACGAGCGCAACCCUCGUCCUUAGUUGCCGGCGAGUAAUGUCGGGAACUCUAAGGAGACUGCCUGGUUUAACCAGGAGGAAGGUGGGGAUGACGUCAAAUCCUCAUGGCCUUACGGGUCCAGGGGCUAGACGCGUGCUACAAUGGCCGGUACAAAGGGGAUGCGAGACAGCGAUGUUGAGCUAAUCCGUUAAAACCGGGUCU
rnacentral:rRNA from 1 species